rnacentral:pre_miRNA from 1 species
CAACUACUCCCUCUAUCCCAAAUUUCUUGUCUUAGAUUUUUCUAGAUACAGAUGUAUCUAAUACUAAAAUGUGACUUGAUACAUCCGUAUCUAGACAAAUCUAAGACAAGAAUUUUGGGACGGAGGGAGUACUUU